UGAACCAACAAAUUCUAGAAUAAUGAUUUUCGGUGGAUCUAAUGCUCACAUAUAUGAACUCGUAAUGGGCUGAUGUGUGAUGAAUUUCAUGGUUAGUUGUUGAGUUGUGUGGUAAGGUGUAUUACUUACUGUUGAUAAAUACGAUAUGCAUGAAAGAAGAAGUAUGAUGAAUAUAUAUAAUAAUCGAUUAGCAUGCUGAUGACUAAUAGGGUUACAUGUGUUGUGAUUAUAAUUGGUAUGAUAUAAAUCAUUGGACUAGGAUUAAAUAACCUGUUAAUGAGGGGUAUUAUUUAUAUAAAUGAUGAUGAUAAAGAUGAGAUGUCAUAAUGAAUUGAUGUAAUGUAUGCAAGAAAGAAACAACUUGUUAAUGAGUGAGAAUAGCCGAUCAAGAUGCACAUGAUGUUAUGUGGACCACAUCCUAAACACUUGCACAAUAAAAAGGAUUCAGGCUGUGCACUUAAACAGGUAAAUUACACUUGGGCUGCUGCUGGAUCAGCGUGCUAAAUGCGGUGGGCCGCACACACCCUGCACUAGGCUGGGCCGAGCUGUGGAAAACAUUACCGAACGGACUUGAAAUCUUUUGGGCCACGGGUUGUGUUGAUUAGGGAAUUAGAAGUUUGGGUUAUACAAUGUUGGGUGGGACUUAAACUUGUCAAAUUGUAUGUUCUGUGAAUGACGAGUGAAAUGCUAUUGGUUGCGUGUCAUGUGAAAUGCGAACUUGUAAUAUGAACAUGCAAAUAAACUAACUACCCACGAGGUGAAUACAUGAUAAUGAACUGGCAUGCUACGUGAAACACUAUAAUGACUUGUAUAAUGUUAUGUGAAACCUGUGUACCCUAUAAGUGUAGAAUGUGUAAAGAAUACGUGAUAUGUGUGCAUACGAAACUGAUUGAUAUUGAUAAUCACACUAGGGUUUGGUUGAUCCAUUUUGAAUGAAUAGUGAAACGUGACAUACCGAGCAAACCGAGGUGAGUUCACACUCUUACCAAGGCAUGGGAUUCCCAAUGGGUUGGGAAUGGGAUUGAAUGAUUACUUGUACUUUCAUCGCUACUGGAAUACGUACCACUGGCCUCGUUAGGGGAAGGACACCUAUAGAUACAACUAGACUAGUAACACAUGGGAAGCCCCCACUAAUCUUCGCACACAUGUCUGUGAGACCGUGAUACGAUUACUAAUCUUUGCAAACAUGUCUGGGAGGCCGCGAUACCAAUCUAAUCUUCGCAAACAUGUCUGGGAGACGGCGAUACAAAUACAAAUACAAAUACAAGUAGUCUAGGACACAUGGGAAACCCCCACUAAUCUUCGCAAACAUGUCUGGGAGACCGCGAUACGAACUAAUACGAUACAUGGUUUACUAAACGAACAUAUGGCUUACGAAACGAAUACUAUAACUAAACAACCAACUGUGAACUCGCUCAACUUUGUUGUUGACUUGUUGUUACAUGCCUUGCAGCCCUUUAGGUGCAUAUCAAUGGAACUUGCUGUCUGAGAAGCUGGAGUGGUCGUGGGUCGAGUUACAUGGAAACGCAACACAAGGCUAGGAGCUAUCACAUGUGGUUUAUAAAGACUUAAAGAACUAAAUAUGCUUCUGCUGUAAAAUGUGAUAUAUCGUAACAUUGUAACCCGUAUUGUUAAUAAAUGAAAGUUUUAUU
rnacentral:lncRNA from 1 species